rnacentral:rRNA from 1 species
UACGGAGGGUGCAAGCGUUAUCCGGAUUCACUGGGUUUAAAGGGUGCGUAGGUGGAUUGGUAAGUCAGUGGUGAAAUCUCCGGGCUUAGCCCGGAAACUGCCAUUGAUACUAUCAGUCUUGAAUACCGUGGAGGUCAGUAGAAUAUGUCAUGUAGCGGUGAAAUGCUUAGAUAUGACAUAGAACACCAAUUGCGAAGGCAGCUCACUACGCGAAUAUUGACACUGAGGCACGAAAGCGUGGGGAUCAAACAGG